rnacentral:rRNA from 1 species
AUAAUCAUUAGUCUUCUAAUUAAAGGCUGGAAUGAAUGGUUGGACGAGGUAUUAGCUGUCUCCCUAAAAUUAACUAAAAUUUAACUUUUUAGUCAAAAGGCUGAAAUGUAGUUGGAGGACGAGAAGACCCUAUAGAUCUUUAUAUUGACGCUGUUUAGCUACUUUAGGUGGUUUAAGGUUUAAUGGUUCAAAUAUUUUGUUGGGGUGACAGGAAGAUAACAAAAACUAUUUUGGCAGGGUAACAUUGAUAUAUGGGUAAAUGAUCCGCUAUGGCGAUUAAAAGACCAAGUUACCUUAGGGAUAACAGCGUAAUCCUUUUUGAGAGUUCUAAUCGACAAGAGGGGUUGCGACCUCGAUGUUGGACUAAGGGUUAUUCUUGGGUGUAGAAGUUCAAGGUUUAGGUCUGUUCGACCUUUAAAUCCUU